CGUGUAGGCGGUUGGGCAAGUCAGAUGUGAAAGCCUUCUGCUUAACAGAAGAAGUGCAUUUGAAACUACCCGGCUAGAGUACGGGAGAGGAGAGUGGAAUUCCCGGUGUAGAGGUGAAAUUCGUAGAUAUCGGGAGGAACACCAGUGGCGAAGGCGGCUCUCUGGCCCGAUACUGACGCUGAGACGCGAAAGCGUGGGGAGCAAACAGGAUUAGAUACCCUGGUAGUCCACGCCCUAAACGAUGGGCACUAGGUGUAGGAGGUAUUGACCCCUUCUGUGCCGAAGCUAACGCAUUAAGUGCCCCGCCUGGGGAGUACGGCCGCAAGGCUAAA
rnacentral:rRNA from 1 species